AUGCAGCUACUUACUAUACAAGUUGGUGAGCAUGGUGAAAUUUUAACUGAAGAUGCAGUGCAAGCUUUGGAAUUACUAACUGAACCCACCACAUCGGAGUGCUGUCAGAUUUUAGCCCAUGCUGUUUCAGGAGCCGACAAUACAGAAACCAUCCGCAUAAGAGCAUUGGUGGGCAACCAAGUCAUGUUAGCACUCGUGGACUCAGGCAGUAGUCAUAGUUUCGUGGAUGAAAAUUUUGCCAAGCGUGCUUCAUUGGAUUUGGUCGCUGUUCCAGAAGUGAAAGUUACAGUUGCAAAUAGUCAAACUAUGGAAUCCAAGUUUCAAACCCCUAAUCUGACUUGGUGGGCACAGGGUCACACUUUUGUGACACCAAUGAGAGUGCUACAACCGGGGGGGCUAUGA
rnacentral:rRNA from 1 species